rnacentral:rRNA from 1 species
UACGGAGGGGGCUAGCGUUGUUCGGAAUUACUGGGCGUAAAGCGUGCGCAGGCGGUUUUGUAAGCCAGAUGUGAAAUCCCCGGGCUCAACCUGGGAAUGGCAUUUGGGACUGCAAGGCUGGAGUACGGCAGAGGAGACUGGAAUUCCUGGUGUAGCAGUGAAAUGCGUAGAUAUCAGGAGGAAUACCGAUGGCGAAGGCAGGUCUCUGGGCUAACACUGACGCUCAUGCACGAAAGCGUGGGGAGCAAACAGG